rnacentral:snRNA from 1 species
AGCGUUUGCCACCUAGACU